rnacentral:lncRNA from 1 species
AGUCGGGGACAGACAGGUGGAGUUUCCAGCGCCCGCACCAUCCGGGACACUGCUGGCAGCUCUCUAGGCCCUAGGAGUCUGAGCUGACUCCGACUUCGGCUCACCGCUCUGCUGCCGGACGAUUGUAUGCCAUUCAAAAAGUCGGGAGUUGAAAGACAGCACGCAGCACCUUUGUCCCCCUCCCCGUUUUCCCGGCGCGCUGAAAAGAAAUGGGGCUGGGACUUAGGGGCGGGGGAGGGCUUCCAACUUGGUUUCUCUAUCUCCUCCACCACCUUAGAGCCCACCCUCCCCAAUGAGCGUUUUGUUCUACCCAGCCACGUGUUUGUCGGACCAUGGAACAACAAGAAUUAAAGUACUAGGAGCUAUU